rnacentral:rRNA from 1 species
GAGUUUGAUUAUGGCUCAGGAUGAACGCUAGCGGCAGGCCUAACACAUGCAAGUCGAGGGGUAGGGUGCUUCGGCACUUGAGACCGGCGCACGGGUGCGUAACACGUGUACAAUCUACCUUUUGCUAAGGGAUAGCCCGAAGAAAUUUGGAUUAAUACCUUAUAGUAUUGUUUGGUGGCAUCACUGAAUAAUUAAAGCUCUGGUGGCAAAAGAUGAGUACGCGUCCCAUUAGCUAGUUGGUGUGGUAACGGCAUACCAAGGCUACGAUGGGUAGGGGUCCUGAGAGGGAGGUCCCCCACACUGGUACUGAGACACGGACCAGACUCCUACGGGAGGCAGCAGUGAGGAAUAUUGGACAAUGGUCGGAAGACUGAUCCAGCCAUGCCGCGUGCAGGAUGACGGCCUUAUGGGUUGUAAACUGCUUUUAUACAGGAAGAAUAAGGUCUACGCGUAGAUUGAU